UACGAAGGGGGCUAGCGUUGCUCGGAAUUACUGGGCGUAAAGCGCACGUAGGCGGCUUUCUAAGUCGGAGGUGAAAUCCUGGAGCUCAACUCCAGAACUGCCUUCGAUACUGGAGAGCUUGAGUCCGGGAGAGGUGAGUGGAACUGCUAGUGUAGAGGUGAAAUUCGUAGAUAUUCGCAAGAACACCAGUGGCGAAGGCGGCUCACUGGCCCGGUACUGACGCUGAGGUGCGAAAGCGUGGGGAGCAAACAGG
rnacentral:rRNA from 1 species